ensembl:lncRNA
AGAAUCCCCGAUAGUUCCAUAAUGUACAGUAUACUGUAUGAAGUGCACUAGGUAGCAUGUGGGAGGCGUUAUAUCCUGCCCUGAGUAGUGUAUUUGUCUAGGGAACAAGGAGGGAAUUGUAUUUCAGCCUCCGUUUUUCAUGGACCGUAUAAGCUGUCUCGACUUGCCCGUACAUGUCCACCGGAAAUGAAUAUUCAUGAGGGCAGAGCGCGAGAUCUGGACACUACAGCAGCAUCGCUAACGGAGAGUUGAUGAAACCGAGUCCAGUGUGUGUGAGAGUGAGGAUUUCACCGACAGUGAACAUUAAAAUGUGUGUAUGGUAUAAUGUUUGAGUUCUUCUGCGAUGGAGGAAAGUUUGUGGUGCGAGAAAACCUCCUCCAGCGUCAUAUCUACUUUACCGGUGUGGAUAAUUGAAUAUGCCUGGACUAACCGGAUGAUGGAGGUGUUACAGGGUAUGUGUUACAGGGUAUGUGUUACAGGGUAUGUGUUACAGGGUACAUGUUACAGGGUAUGUGCUACAUAUGUUUAGUGCCGAAACGAGUGUAUCAGCUACAGCUGUGUUACUGACUUUAGUAUAGGGCUGCACGAUUGUGGCCAAAAUGUUCAUCAUGAUUAUUUUGAUCAACAUUGAGAUCACGAUUCCAUCCAUCUUCUAUACCACUUACUCCUUUUCAGGGUCACGGGGAAACCUGGAGCCUAUCCCAGGGAGCAUCGGGCACAAGGCAGGGUACACCCUGGACAGGGUUUUUUUAAAAUCACGAUUAUUCAUUGAUUUUAGGGACAACAUAUUUUUUU